AACCUCCGCAAUGUGAGAAAUCGCGACGGGGGGAUCCCAAGUGCCAUUCUUAACGGGAUGGCUUUUCAUUAGUGUAAAGGGCUUUUGGAAUAAGAGCUGGGCAAGACCGGUGCCAGCCGCCGCGGUAACACCGGCAGCUCUAGUGGUAACAAUUUUUAUUGGGCCUAAAGCGUCCGUAGCCGGUUUAAUAAGUCUCUGGUGAAAUCCUGCAGCUUAACUGUGGGAAUUGCUGGAGAUACUAUUAGACUUGAGACCGGGAGAGGUUAGAGGUACUCCCAGGGUAGAGGUGAAAUUCUGUAAUCCUGGGAGGACCGCCUGUUGCGAAGGCGUCUAACUGGAACGGUUCUGACGGUGAGGGACGAAAGUUAGGGGCGCGAACCGGAUUAGAUACCCGGGUAGUUCUAACUGUAAACGAUGCGGACUUGGUGUUGGGGUGGCUUUGAGCUGCUUCAGUGCCGAAGGGAAGCUGUUAAGUCCGCCGCCUGGGAAGUACGGUCGCAAGACUGAAACUUAAAGGAAUU
rnacentral:rRNA from 1 species